rnacentral:misc_RNA from 1 species
UUUCCGUAGGUGAACCCGCGGAAGGAUCAUACAUAAUAAAGUGUUUUAUGGCACUUUUUAAAAAUCCAUAUCCACCUUGUGUGCAAUGUUAGAUCUCGUCAAUCUUGGCGAGAUUUUUAUACAUCAACUCAUUCUUUAACUAAUUUGUCUGAAAAAUAUUAUGAAUACUUAAUUCAAAAUACAACUUUCAACAACGGAUCUCUUGGCUCUC